rnacentral:piRNA from 1 species
ACUCGUUCAGAACCAUGGUAGCGCCA